rnacentral:rRNA from 1 species
UACGGAGGGUGCAACCGUUGCUCGGAAUCAUUGGGCGUAAAGCGCACGUAGGCGGCUCGUUAAGUCGGAUGUGAAAGCCCCGGGCUCAACCCGGGAAGUGCAUUCGAAACUGGCGAGCUUGAAUAUGGAAGAGGGUCGCGGAAUUCCCGGUGUAGAGGUGAAAUUCGUAGAUAUCGGGAGGAACACCAGUGGCGAAGGCGGCGACCUGGGCCAAUAUUGACGCUGAGGUGCGAAAGCGUGGGGAGCAAACAGG